CAAUGAAAGUAUCUGCCGUGAAGUCACCCAUGGAAACAUGGACUAAUACCGCAUAUACCCUUGCUACAUAAGUAGAGUAGAGGAAAGUUUUUUCGCUUCACGAUGAGCCUGCGGCCUAUUAGCCUGUUGGUAGGGUAAUGGCCUACCAAAGCUACGAUAGGUAGCCGACCUGAGAGGGUGACCGGCCACAUUGGGACUGAGAUACGGCCCACUCCUACGGGAGGCAGCAGCUGAAAUCUUCCACAAUGGACGAAAGUCUGAUGGAGCGACAUCGCGUGAGGGAUGAAGGCCUUCGGGUUGUAAACCUCGGAAAUUAUCGAAGAAUGAGUGACAGUAGAUAAUGUAAGCCUCGGCUAACUACGUGCCAGCAGCCGCGGUAAUACGUAGGAGGCAAACGUUGCUCAUUC
rnacentral:rRNA from 1 species